GUCGAGAAUCUUUCACAAUGGGGGCAACCCUGAUGGAGCGACGCCGCGUGGAGGAUAAGGUCUUCGGAUUGUAAACUCCUGUCAUGCGUGAACAAGGUUGCUUGGAUAAUACCUGAGCAAAUUGAUGGUAGCGCAAGAGGAAGAGACGGCUAACUCUGUGCCAGCAGCCGCGGUAAUACAGAGGUCUCAAGCGUUGUUCGGAAUCACUGGGCGUAAAGGGUGCGUAGGUGGCGUGGCAAGUCAGAUGUGAAAGCCCGGGGCUCAACCUCGGAACUGCAUCCGAUACUGCCAUGCUAGAGUACUGGAGGGGUGACUAGAAUUCUCGGUGUAGCAGUGAAAUGCGUAGAUAUCGAGAGGAAUACCAAAGGCGUAGGCAGGUCACUGGACAGUUACUGACACUGAGGCACGAAGGCCAGGGGAGCGAACGGGAUUAGAAACCCCAGUAGUCC
rnacentral:rRNA from 1 species